CUGGCUCAGAACGAACGCUGGCGGCAUGGAUUAGGCAUGCAAGUCGAACGAAGCAGCAAUGCUUAGUGGCGCAAGGGUGAGGAACACGUGAGUGACCUACCCGCAAGUUUGGAACAGCUCCUGGAAACGGGAAUUAAUACCGGAUGUGAUCAUGAAGCUGCAUGGUUUCAUGAUUAAAGCAGCAAUGCGCUUGCGGAUGGGCUCGCGUCCCAUUAGCUAGUUGGUGAGGUAACGGCCCACCAAGGCCAUGAUGGGUAGCUGGUCUGAGAGGACGACCAGCCACACUGGGACUGAGAACUGCCCAGACUCCUACGGGAGGCUGCAGUCGAGAAUUUUGGGCAAUGGACGAAAGUCUUGACCCAGCAAUGCCGCGUGCGGGAUGAAGGUCUUCGGAUUGUAAACCGCUGUUUGGAGGGACGAAAAUUGACGGUACUUCCAGAGGAAGCCACGGCUAACUACGUGCCAGCCGCCGC
rnacentral:rRNA from 1 species